rnacentral:rRNA from 1 species
UACGUAGGUGGCAAGCGUUAUCCGGAUUUACUGGGUGUAAAGGGCGUGUAGGCGGGACUGCAAGUCAGAUGUGAAAUUCCAGGGCUCAACCCUGGAACUGCAUUUGAAACUGUAGUUCUUGAGUGAUGGAGAGGCAGGCGGAAUUCCGUGUGUAGCGGUGAAAUGCGUAGAUAUACGGAGGAACACCGGCGGCGAAGGCGGCUUACUGGACUGUAACUGACGUUGAGGCUCGAAAGCGUGGGGGGCAAACAGG